rnacentral:rRNA from 1 species
UACGUAGGGUGCGAGCGUUGUCCGGAAUUACUGGGCGUAAAGAGCUCGUAGGUGGUUUGUCGCGUUGUUCGUGAAAUCUCACGGCUUAACUGUGAGCGUGCGGGCGAUACGGGCAGACUAGAGUACUGCAGGGGAGACUGGAAUUCCUGGUGUAGCGGUGGAAUGCGCAGAUAUCGGGAGGAACACCGGUGGCGAAGGCAGGUCUCUGGGCAUUAACUGACGCUGAGGAGCGAAAGCAUGGGGAGCGAACAGG